CUGGCGGCGUGCCUAAUACAUGCAAGUCGAACGGUCUUUCUAUGGAAGCUUGCUUCCACUGAAAAGAUAGUGGCGAACGGGUGAGUAACACGUGGGUAACCUGCCCAUAAGAGGGGGGAUAACAUCCGGAAACGGGUGCUAAUACCGCAUAGUUUUCUUGAUCGCAUGAUCGGGAAAGGAAAGACGGCCUUUGUGCUGUCGCUUAUGGAUGGACCCGCGGCGUAUUAGUUAGUUGGUGAGGUAACGGCUCACCAAGACGAUGAUACGUAGCCGACCUGAGAGGGUGAUCGGCCACAUUGGGACUGAGACACGGCCCAAACUCCUACGGGAGGCAGCAGUAGGGAAUCUUCCGCAAUGGACGAAAGUCUGACGGAGCAACGCCGCGUGAGUGAAAGAAGGUUUUCGGAUCGUAAAACUCUGUUGUCAGAGAAGAACAAGUUGGAGAGUAACUGCUCCAGCCUUGACGGUAUCUGACCAGAAAGCCACGGCUAACUACGUGCCAGCCGCCGC
rnacentral:rRNA from 1 species